AGUCUUAUAGUUAGAAACAACGUUAGAUUGCAAAUCUGAAGACGAAAAUAAAUUUUCUAAGGCUU
rnacentral:tRNA from 1 species